CGUUCCUGUGUCUUUAGAUAACCUUUGAAGUUCAUCAACCUAAUACUCAUUCGUCUUCUCAAUUCCCACAUUUUUUUCUUUGAUAAGAUCAAUUCCCAUAGUUCCCAGCAACGAUACCAGAACUGAUGUGUAACGCUUUUUUCAACCUUGAAACAAUGCAAUUAUGUUUCGACCAUUAACUUCCUUUGUCGAACUCCGUCGUUAACCCCUAUUUUUUUUAAACGAUAAAUAGGGAUGGAGACCUCUCCAAUUCUCACUGAUUCACCAGAUCCAAUCCUAUUCAUUCCUUUGAAACACAGCCUACAACAAUGGUCAGCCGGUCAUUGUUCUCAGACGGUGGUGCGACCCGUCUCCUGUGUUUCAGAAAUGCCCGAGCAAAAGCUUCUGAUUUAUAAGCCAAAUAUCUGAAGGUUUUUGCUACUUUUGUUUGAGGAAGAACUUUACAAAAACAUCAUCACUCAGCUUCUGGUUCUAGAGAAUUUCAGGGAUGACGAGCAAUUGACAAAAUAUUUCAGCUCGAAUUGGCAGUUUGGCAGCACCAUCUAUAUCAAAAUCCGAGGGCUAAUCCUGAGUUCAACAUGUCAGCAAAAGUUGUAUAAAGUCUUGAAAUUCUUAACGUCAACAGCAGGAGGAAAAAAUGUCAAUGAUAGUGCAUGAUGAAGAUGGUCAACUCUAAAUACAUUGUAAAAGAGCAGAUAAGGCUGUUAUCAGCACGAUAUAUUUUGGAAGAGCAACAUCAGAGGGAACUCUCACAAUGCCUCCAAUAAAUUGUUGGUGGGACUCUCACAUUCCAGCUCAAGCUUUCUGAGUUCAACUUCUCUUCCAAACAUCAGUCCUUUACAGUCUCACUUUUUUAAGACGCCCACAAGCUUCAACCACUACCAAAUUUUGCACAUCAGGUUAGUUCUAUCACAACUUAGAAAAAGUAUCUGUGUUUUUAAUAUGGGCUUCACCUGUAGGUGUGAAAUGUUUGAUGACGGUGUGGUAAUAUAUGAAAAACUGUAUUCAUAUACUCUUAAUGGAUAUGGCUGCUGCACUAUUUUUUUGUCUAAUCAGCUCCCUUCUGACUGAGUAGCUGUGUAUAAUUCUAUGGAAGACGUUGAUCAAUCAUGAAGUACUCCAUGACUGGUUAUUGUUCUUAAGAAUAAAACAGUUGUUGAUAGUGUAGACAGUAGGGAUUGUUCCAAUGCAAUGCGUAGAUAUAUUGAAGCUCAGCAUGUGACACAAGUGUUCUCUUGACUGGAGCUCAGCAUGUCACAUAAAAGCUCACUAAUGACGUCAAGAAUAGUGUUUCAGGCAACAAAACCCGAUGCUUUUUUGGUCAAAAUGUAGAAAGUAACACGUUGACUGUAUCUCCGCUACAUGGCACACAACGACUGAUAACUCUAAAAACAAUUUUUGAGAUGAUGACCUGCUGCAAAUUAUAAAGAUCCAACAGCAUUCGUCGUUAACUAUUCUCAUAGUAAUUAUGCGGUCCAGUUGAUAUUAUCAGACCUACAUCUUAUUUGGGCUUUGUCUUUCUUUUGGUUUGUUUUUUUUUACCGCACUUUUGGUUUGUUUUUUACUAAAAUUAAGACUUUGGUCUAAACUGUAUGCUAUAUUAGCUUUCAGUCAAUUUUCAAGUUUACUCA